rnacentral:rRNA from 1 species
GCGGCAUGGCUAGGCAUGCAAGUCGCACGCGAAAGCUCCCUUCGGGGAGCAAGUAGAGUGGCGGAAGGGCGAGUAACGCAUGGGUAACGUACCCUCUGCUCGGGGAUAGCCGCGGGAAACUGCGGAUAAUACCCGAUGAGACCGUAGCACCGCAGGGUGCAGCGGUCAAAGGCGGGGAUCCUUCGGGACCUGUCGGCGGAGGAGCGGCCCAUGUCCUAUCAGCUUGUUGGCGGGGUAACGGCCCACCAAGGCUAUGACGGGUAGCGGGACUGAGAGGUUGGCCCGCCGCAUUGGGACUGAGACACUGCCCAGACUCCUACGGGAGGCUGCAGCAACGAAUAUUGCGCAAUGGGGGAAACCCUGACGCAGCAACGCCGCGUGAGUGAUGAAGGUUCUCGAAUCGUAAAGCUCUGUCAGGUGGGAAGAAUAGAUUGGAUCCGAAUACGAUCCGAUGUUGACGGUACCACCAGAGGAAGCCCCGGCUAACUACGUGCCAGCAGCCGCGGUAAGACGUAGGGGGCGAGCGUUGUCCGGAAUUACUGGGCGUAAAGGGCGUGUAGGCGGCUUUCCAAGUCAGCUGUGAAAUCCCCCGGCUUAACCGGGGAACUGCAGGGCAAACUACUGGUCUUGAGGCAAGUAGGGGUGUGUGGAACUCUUGGUGGAGCGGUGGGAAUGCGUAGAUAUCAAGAGGAACGCCGAAGGUGAAGACAGCACACUGGACUUGUACUGACGCUGAGGCGCGAAAAGCGUG